rnacentral:lncRNA from 1 species
UGCCAGGGGCGUAGUGCAGGCCACACUUGGUCUUUCCCUUCUACAUAACAUAACAUACAUAACCAAUGGUGCCGGGGGCGUAGUGCAGGCCACAUCCGGUCUUUCUCUUACAUAGUGCCAGGGGCGUAGUGCAGGCCACACUUGGACUUCCAUAUCAUAUCAUCACGUCAUAACAUAUGAGGGCUAAUGGAUCAUUCAACAUUCAUCCACAUCAACAACAUAUUAUGCAAUGCAAC